rnacentral:lncRNA from 1 species
GCGCACGCGCGUGAGGGAUGUCGCGGGUGAGUGGUGUCGAGGCCUGUUGGGUCAGGGCGGUUCGCAGGUGCUGUCAGAGCUGGGCGGGGCAGCCGGGUCGUAGAGGCGGGCGCCAGUCGCGGUCGGUGGAGAGGGAUGAGGAUGUAGGAGGGACGGACGUGGCGGAAGCCGCGGGGACUGCGGGGGCGGAGUGCCUCUGGGGAGCCAGGGAGGCCUUUCCAGAGGCUCCUGGGGGAAGAAGAGGCGAAGCGAGAGUCCCCGGGGAAGCCCUACUCCACCCCCAGCCGGAGCCUGGGUUGUGCCUGCACGGACCAGAGCCCACAGUGCGAGUUGCUGUAGGCAACCAGCUAGGGUGGCCAACUUCUCCCGGUUGGCCCGAGAUGUUCUGGUUUUGGGACCACAGCGUCCCAGGCCUCCAGCCCACCACAGUGACCAUAUUGUGCGCCCCCUGCCCAUCUUCUCCCGCAGCUUCCCUAGAUUAGGCUUGGGAGGCAAGGGGAGGCCUCCUGACUUUUCUCACUGCCUUCGUUAAUAUAAAGAUGAAGGCACACUCCACAACUUCCUUCUGGCCAGGCCCAGACAUGUCUGUCCUUGUGAGAUAAAAGCUUCCAUGGGAGCCUUCCUUCCUAAUCAAGGUAGGUAGACCACUGGAAGGUACAUCUGGUUUUAUAUUUUGUCCUGUAGAAGUCAGAUUUCAGCCCAGUUGUGUAGGAGUGAGGAUGAGCUUAUGCUCUUAUCAGAGCUUUGAGUACAGAGACAUUUGAUCUGGAAUUUCAGCCAGCCUCUUCAACCCCAGAAUUCAGAGGUUCAAUCAGAACAGACAUUAGCUUAAGUUUUCCCAUCAGUUGUCUAUCAUUAAACUGGCAAAAUCUAGAUAAUUAGAAAAUAUGACAGAGAUGAUCCAGACAGAGAUGUUCAGGUUUUUCCUUGUGUAAUUCAAAAAGUCUCGUGGUGGAACAUCUGACCCUUUUCAAGAGGAAGGAUGAAAACUCUACAUAGGAACACGAUGUGAAUGGAAGAAACCUGUCAUUAUGCAAAUAGUACGGUAUUCCGAACAGACACUAAAAAUAGCUGUCAUCUCAAAGAAUCCAGUGCUUGUGUCACAGUAUGAGAAAGUAGAUGCUGGGGAACAGCGUUUAAUGAAUGAAGCAUUCCAGCCAGCCAGUGAUCUCUUUGGACCUUGCAUUCUCCAUCAGAUUGGAUCACCUCCCACCCUGAGGCCCCCCAAGACUUUGAACAGUUCUUCAGUCAUCCUUACAGAAAGAUACCCUCUCCAGACAAACGCAGUAUUUAUAUACGGUCCAUUGGAUCUCUAUGAAGCACCAGAAUUAUCAGUGAAGAAUAUAUUAAAUGGCUCACGGGCUACUGUAAAGCAUAUUUCUAUCGCUUGAGAGUAAAACUGCUAGAACCAGUUCCUGUUUCUACAACAAGGUGUUCCUUUAGAGUCAAUGAGAACACACAAAACCUACAAAUUCAUGCAGGGGACAUCCUGAAGUUCUUGAAAAAGAAGAAACCUGAAGAUGCCUUCUGUGUUGUGGGAAUAACAAUGAUUGAUCUUUACCCAAGAGACUUGUGGAAUUUUGUCUUUGGACAGGCCUCUUUGACAGAUGGCACUGGUGAGGUGGAUUGAUGAUGAAUCUUCUGGCACACCUGGAGCAACUCCAGAACACAGUCGUGAGGAUAAUGGGAAUUUACUGAAACCCGUGGAAGGAAGCCUUUAAGGAAUGGAAAGAGUGGAUAAUAAAAUGCCUGACUGUUCUCCAAAAAUAAGGACCUUCAAAUAGGAGUGAUUGAAAUAAAUGACUACUUGCAUGUUAUGCUUUCAUUUGGGUGGAAUACUUCAUCAGAAUAAACUAUUGAUCUUGUGCUGUGUCAAAGUAACAGACUAGAACCUUCUUUCAAGUACCUGAAUUGAAAUGAAACUCAUUUUGAAUAAUAAAAACUCUAGAAACUCUUUAUCUUCUCAUCUUACUGGCCUGGUCUGUGGCAGCAAGCACAUUAUUUCCAUUCCCCAAAUAUGUUUAGGUCUCCCAAGAAAGCUGGGACUGGCGGUAAUGAGCAAGUAAAUAACUUGAAAAAGAACUGUAGAUGCCCCAAGGAACCAACCAACAUAAUUUCCAGGGGGUGAUUUUGUUUUUAGAAGAGCUGCUCCCCUCUGUUAGGGCCAGCCAAGUCACAUUUUUGGACGUCCGUGGACUCUGAUCACCACAGCCCUCCUCUUCCGUGAGCCUUCCUUACUCUCUCGAGUGCAUUAGCUCAUUUUUUUUCUUUUGCUGGUUGUCACCUUAUUCCUGUUUUAGUUUUUAGCAGCUUAAAAUACGACCUCUCAGGAAUAUUUGCAAGUGAAAAUAACAAUGGUCCUUACACUACCACAACAUUUGGUGGUGGGAGUUCCGUUGCAGGUCUCAGCUAUAACAUAGUCAUUUAUGAGGGAUCUUACAAAUAGUGUGUAAUGGUAUUUAUAUUUGUGAGUGUUACACUUUCUCUAUAGACUUAGAGCAGCUUUCAGGUUUAUUUCAGUAAUAAUGUCUUUCUCACCUUCUCACAUUGUGAAGUGUUUACCUGAGUCAGGGAGAGAGUUUAAUGGGGUUAUCUGUCGGGGUGCCAUGAAUGCUGAUGAUGGUCUGCAGGUUGUGAACAUCAGCCCCAUUGCUACAGGGGUGGACAGGUGGAAAAGCUCAGACUUGACAAACCACCUCUGCUAGAUAGAUGUGUCUUGGAAAUCCAGAAAUUACAGUGAAUAUUUUAUGGAAUGCCAGUGAGCAGACAGCAUUUCCCACUUUCCUAUCUUACCUUGAGGGUAAGACUUAAAGGUAUUUUUUUUUCUUGUAAUUUGAAGCCUAAAUUCUUUGAUUGUUUGAUGUAUGCAAUAUGAUGUAAGGCACAUUUUAUACCCCUAGUCAGUGGUUUCCCUUGGAUUCAUUCUCCUACUUGAUUGAACCCAUUUAAGUCAUUUUAGGAAAUGGUGGUUUGCUAUUAAAAUUAAUUGGAGAGAAUACUUGGUCAUUCUGUUAGCAAAAAGAGACUGAUGGAGCAUGGUGUUUUAUGGAUUCUGUUACAGGGCUUAUUCCUCCUUGAAUAAUGUGCUUUAAAAAUUAUUGUCCAUUCGAUUACAUUUUCUUUUAUUUUCCUACAAUGUAAGCACGGUUUUAGUCCUGUAGGUCAGCCUUUCUCACAAACUCUUUUGAACUAAGAUUUGCCUAGGUGAAUAAAUUGGGGAUGACGGUUGUCUGGAGAAGAUAUAAGGUCCAUUUGUGAAUACUCUGCACUAUGAGACCAGGAGAAAAAUCAUCUAAGAAAUCGUUCACUCUUGCUAAAAACUGAACUAAAUUUUAUAUGAUGCAUUUAUUCAGCAAUCAUAAGUGCUGUGCAUAACUAUUGUACAUAUUUUUGGACAAUUUCUUAGGGUUCAGCUUAAAAAUAUAAUUUGCCUACUGCAACU